rnacentral:rRNA from 1 species
GGAUUGUGGGCUGAAACCCGCCCACAUGAAGUCGGAGUUGCUAGUAAUCCCGAAUCAGAAUGUCGGGGUGAAUGCGUUCCCGGGUCUUGUACACACCGCCCGUCACGCCAUAGGAGUUGGGGGUAUCCGAAGUCGGUGAGCUAACCGCAAGGGGGCAGCCGCCUAAGGUAAAACCAAUGACUGGGGUGAAGUCGUAACAAGGUAUC